UGGGGAAUUUUGGGCAAUGGGCGAAAGCCUGACCCAGCAACGCCGCGUGAAGGAUGAAGUAUUUCGGUAUGUAAACUUCGUAAGAAUAGGAAGAAUAAAUGACGGUACUAUUUGUAAGGUCCGGCUAACUACGUGCCAGCAGCCGCGGUAAUACGUAGGGACCAAGCGUUGUUCGGAUUUACUGGGCGUAAAGGGCGCGUAGGCGGCGUGGUAAGUCAUCUGUGAAAUCUCCGGGCUUAACUCGGAACGGUCAGAUGAUACUGCUUUGCUAGAGUGCAGAAGGGGCAAUCGGAAUUCUUGGUGUAGCGGUGAAAUGCGUAGAUAUCAAGAGGAACACCUGAGGUGAAGACGGGUUGCUGGGCUGACACUGACGCUGAGGCGCGAAAGCCAGGGGAGCAAACGGGAUUAGAUACCCCCGUAGUCCCUGAGCGGGCUGGCAAGGCGCAU
rnacentral:rRNA from 1 species